CACUAUCGUUAACUGAAUACAUAGGUUAACGAGGCGAACCGGGGGAACUGAAACAUCUAAGUACCCCGAGGAAAAGAAAUCAACCGAGAUUCCCCCAGUAGCGGCGAGCGAACGGGGAGCAGCCCAGAGUCUGAAUCAGCUUGUGUGUUAGUGGAACGGUCUGGAAAGUCCGACGGUACAGGGUGAUAGUCCCGUACACCAAAAUGCACAGGCUGUGAACUCGAAGAGUAGGGCGGGACACGUGGUAUCCUGUCUGAAUAUGGGGGGACCAUCCUCCAAGGCUAAAUACUCCUGACUGACCGAUAGUGAACCAGUACCGUGAGGGAAAGGCGAAAAGAACCCCGGCGAGGGGAGUGAAAAAGAACCUGAAACCGUGUACGUACAAGCAGUGGGAGCACCUUCGGGUGUGACUGCGUACCUUUUGUAUAAUGGGUCAGCGACUUAUAUUCUGUAGCAAGGUUAACCGUAUAGGGGAGCCGCAGGGAAACCGAGUCUUAACUGGGCGUUAAGUUGCAGGGUAUAGACCCGAAACCCGGUGAUCUAGCCAUGGGCAGGUUGAAGGUUGGGUAACACUAACUGGAGGACCGAACCGACUAAUGUUGAAAAAUUAGCGGAUGACUUGUGGCUGGGGGUGAAAGGCCAAUCAAACCGGGAGAUAGCUGGUUCUCCCCGAAAGCUAUUUAGGUAGCGCCUCGUGAAUUCAUCUUCGGGGGUAGAGCACUGUUUCGGCUAGGGGGUCAUCCCGACUUACCAACCCGAUGCAAACUACGAAUACCGAAGAAUGUUAUCACGGGAGACACACGGCGGGUGCUAACGUCCGUCGUGAAGAGGGAAACAACCCAGACCGCCAGCUAAGGUCCCAAAGUCAUGGUUAAGUGGGAAACGAUGUGGGAAGGCACAGACAGCCAGGAUGUUGGCUUAGAAGCAGCCAUCAUUUAAAGAAAGCGUAAUAGCUCACUGGUCGAGUCGGCCUGCGCGGAAGAUGUAACGGGGCUAAACCAUGCACCGAAGCUGCGGCAGCGACACUAUGUGUUGUUGGGUAGGGGAGCGUUCUGUAAGCCUGCGAAGGUGACCUGUGAGGGUUGCUGGAGGUAUCAGAAGUGCGAAUGCUGACAUAAGUAACGAUAAAGCGGGUGAAAAGCCCGCUCGCCGGAAGACCAAGGGUUCCUGUCCAACGUUAAUCGGGGCAGGGUGAGUCGACCCCUAAGGCGAGGCCGAAAGGCGUAGUCGAUGGGAAACAGGUUAAUAUUCCUGUACUUGGUGUUACUGCGAAGGGGGGACGGAGAAGGCUAUGUUAGCCGGGCGACGGUUGUCCCGGUUUAAGCAUGUAGGCUGGUUGUCCAGGCAAAUCCGGAUAAUCAAGGCUGAGGUGUGAUGACGAGGCACUACGGUGCUGAAGUAACAAAUGCCCUGCUUCCAGGAAAAGCCUCUAAGCAUCAGGUAACAUUAAAUCGUACCCCAAACCGACACAGGUGGUCAGGUAGAGAAUACCAAGGCGCUUGAGAGAACUCGGGUGAAGGAACUAGGCAAAAUGGUGCCGUAACUUCGGGAGAAGGCACGCUGGUGUGUAGGUGAAGUCCCUGCGGAUGGAGCUGAGACCAGUCGAAGAUACCAGCUGGCUGCAACUGUUUAUUAAAAACACAGCACUGUGCAAACACGAAAGUGGACGUAUACGGUGUGACGCCUGCCCGGUGCCGGAAGGUUAAUUGAUGGGGUUAUCCGUAAGGAGAAGCUCUUGAUCGAAGCCCCGGUAAACGGCGGCCGUAACUAUAACGGUCCUAAGGUAGCGAAAUUCCUUGUCGGGUAAGUUCCGACCUGCACGAAUGGCGUAAUGAUGGCCAGGCUGUCUCCACCCGAGACUCAGUGAAAUUGAACUCGCUGUGAAGAUGCAGUGUACCCGCGGCAAGACGGAAAGACCCCGUGAACCUUUACUAUAGCUUGACACUGAACAUUGAGCCUUGAUGUGUAGGAUAGGUGGGAGGCUUUGAAGCGUGGACGCCAGUCUGCGUGGAGCCAACCUUGAAAUACCACCCUUUAAUGUUUGAUGUUCUAACGUUGGCCCCUUACCGGGGUUGCGGACAGUGUCUGGUGGGUAGUUUGACUGGGGCGGUCUCCUCCCAAAGCGUAACGGAGGAGCACGAAGGUUAGCUAAUCCUGGUCGGACAUCAGGAGGUUAGUGCAAUGGCAUAAGCUAGCUUGACUGCGAGCGUGACGGCGCGAGCAGGUGCGAAAGCAGGUCAUAGUGAUCCGGUGGUUCUGAAUGGAAGGGCCAUCGCUCAACGGAUAAAAGGUACUCCGGGGAUAACAGGCUGAUACCGCCCAAGAGUUCAUAUCGACGGCGGUGUUUGGCACCUCGAUGUCGGCUCAUCACAUCCUGGGGCUGAAGUAGGUCCCAAGGGUAUGGCUGUUCGCCAUUUAAAGUGGUACGCGAGCUGGGUUUAGAACGUCGUGAGACAGUUCGGUCCCUAUCUGCCGUGGGCGCUGGAGAAUUGAGGGGGGCUGCUCCUAGUACGAGAGGACCGGAGUGGACGCAUCACUGGUGUUCGGGUUGUCAUGCCAAUGGCACUGCCCGGUAGCUAAAUGCGGAAGAGAUAAGUGCUGAAAGCAUCUAAGCACGAAACUUGCCCCGAGAUGAGUUCUCCCUGAGACUUUAAGUCUCCUGAAGGAACGUUAAAGACGAUGACGUUGAUAGGCCGGGUGUGUAAGCGCAGCGAUGCGUUGAGCUAACCGGUACUAAUGAACCGUGAGGCUUAACCUUACAACGCCGAAG
rnacentral:rRNA from 1 species